rnacentral:rRNA from 1 species
GACGAACGCUGGCGGCGUGCUUAACACAUGUAAGUCGAACGGAAAGGCCCUGCUUGCAGGGUACUCGAGUGGCGAACGGGUGAGUAACACGUGGGUGAUCUGCCCUGCACUUCGGGAUAAGCCUGGGAAACUGGGUCUAAUACCGGAUAGGAGCCAUUUUUAGUGUGAUGGUUGGAAAGUUUUUUCGGUGUAGGAUGAGCUCGCGGCCUAUCAGCUUGUUGGUGGGGUAAUGGCCUACCAAGGCGGCGACGGGUAGCCGGCCUGAGAGGGUGGACGGCCACAUUGGGACUGAGAUACGGCCCAGACUCCUACGGGAGGCAGCAGUGGGGAAUAUUGCACAAUGGGCGCAAGCCUGAUGCAGCGACGCCGCGUGGGGGAUGACGGCCUUCGGGUUGUAAACUCCUUUCGCUAGGGACGAAGCUUUUUGUGACGGUACCUAGAGAAGAAGCACCGGCUAACUACGUG